rnacentral:rRNA from 1 species
GAUGAACGCUGGCGGCGUGCCUAAUACAUGCAAGUCGAGCGAACGGACGAGAAGCUUGCUUCUCUGAUGUUAGCGGCGGACGGGUGAGUAACACGUGGAUAACCUACCUAUAAGACUGGGAUAACUUCGGGAAACCGGAGCUAAUACCGGAUAAUAUUUUGAACCGCAUGGUUCAAAAGUGAAAGACGGUCUUGCUGUCACUUAUAGAUUGAUCCGCGCUGCAUUAGCUAGUUGGUAAGGUAACGGCUUACCAAGGCAACGAUGCAUAGCCGACCUGAAGGGGUGGUCGGCCACACUGUAACUGAGAAACGGCCCAGACUCCGACGGGAGGCAGCAGUAGGGAAUCUUCCGCAAUGGGCGAAAGCCUGACGGAGCAACGCCGCGUGAGUGAUGAAGGUCUUCGGAUCGUAAAACUCUGUUAUUAGGGAAGAACAUAUGUGUAAGUAACUGUGCACAUCUUGACGGUACCUAAUCAGAAAGCCACGGCUAACUACGUG